rnacentral:rRNA from 1 species
UUGGAGGGCAAGUCUGGUGCCAGCAGCCGCGGUAAUUCCAGCUCCAAUAGCGUAUAUUAAAGUUGUUGCAGUUAAAAAGCUCGUAGUUGAAUUUCGGGGUCAGCAGGUUGGUCGUGCCAAUGGUAUGCACUGGCCUUGCUGAUUCCUCCCUCUUGAUGAGCCGUAAUGUCAUUAAUUUGGUGUUGCGGGGAAUCAGGACUGUUACUUUGAAAAAAUUAGAGUGUUUAAAGCAGGCAAGCGCUUGAAUACAUUAGCAUGGAAUAAUGAAAUAGGACGUUUGAUCCUAUUUUGUUGGUUUCUAGGAUUGACGUAAUGAUUAAUAGGGAUAGUUGGGGGCAUUAGUAUUCAAUUGUCAGAGGUGAAAUUCUUGGAUUUAUUGAAGACUAACUACUGCGAAAGCAUUUGCCAAGGAUGUUUUCAUUAAUCAAGAGCGAAAGUUAGGGGAUCGAAGACGAUCAGAUACCGUCGUAGUCUUAACCAUAAACUAUGCCGACUAGGGAUCGGAUGAUGUUAAUUUUUUAAUGACUCAUUCGGCGCCUUACGGGAAAC